ACGCUGGCGGCAGGCCUAACACAUGCAAGUCGAGCGGUAGAGAGAAGCUUGCUUCUCUUGAGAGCGGCGGACGGGUGAGUAAUGCCUAGGAAUCUGCCUGGUAGUGGGGGAUAACGUUCGGAAACGGACGCUAAUACCGCAUACGUCCUACGGGAGAAAGCAGGGGACCUUCGGGCCUUGCGCUAUCAGAUGAGCCUAGGUCGGAUUAGCUAGUUGGUGGGGUAAUGGCUCACCAAGGCGACGAUCCGUAACUGGUCUGAGAGGAUGAUCAGUCACACUGGAACUGAGACACGGUCCAGACUCCUACGGGAGGCAGCAGUGGGGAAUAUUGGGCAAUGGGCGAAAGCCUGAUCCAGCCAUGCCGCGUGUGUGAAGAAGGUCUUCGGAUUGUAAAGCACUUUAAGUUGGGAGGAAGGGCAGUUGCCUAAUACGUAACUGUUUUGACGUUACCGACAGAAUAAGCACCGGCUAACUCUGUGCCAGCAGCCGCGGUAAUACAGAGGGUGCAAGCGUUAAUCGGAAUUACUGGGCGUAAAGCGCGCGUAGGUGGUUUGUUAAGUUGGAUGUGAAAUCCCCGGGCUCAACCUGGGAACUGCAUUCAAAACUGACUGACUAGAGUAUGGUAGAGGGUGGUGGAAUUUCCUGUGUAGCGGUGGAAAUGCGU
rnacentral:rRNA from 1 species